GGGGUUAGCUUAGCGGUACAGCGUGUACUUAGCGUGCACAAGGUCCUGGGUUCAAUCCCCAGUACCUCCA
rnacentral:tRNA from 1 species